AAACAUCUUUUCUUGUUAGUUUUUGAAGUAUGGCCUGCCCACUGACAUUGUUGAAGGGCCGCGGUAUUUUGACCGUGCAAAGGUAGCAUAAUCAUUAGUUCUUUAAUUGUGAUCUGGUAUGAAUGGCUUGACGCGACAUAAGCUGUCUUAUGAGUAUUGUUUAUUGAAUUUGGUUUUUGAGUUAAAAUUCUUAGAUGUUUUUAUGGGACGAGAAGACCCUAUAGAGUUUGACAUCUAUUCUUGUUAAUUUGUUAUUGUUUGUUGUUUUAUUUUAGUAAGGUAGGUGUUUUGUUGGGGUGAUGGGAGGAAUUCUUUUAACUCCUCUUUGUUUUUGUAUAUUUAUUUAUAUAAUUUUGAUCCAUUUAUUUUGAUUAUAAGAUUAAAUUACCUUAGGGAUAACAGCGUUAUCUUCCCUGAGAGUUCUUAUUGGCGGGGAGGUUUGCGACCUCGAUGUUGGAUUAAGGUGAAUUUUCGGUGCAGGAGC
rnacentral:rRNA from 1 species